rnacentral:rRNA from 1 species
UACAGAGGGGGCAAGCGUUAUUCGGAAUUAUUGGGCGUAAAGGGCGCGUAGGUGGCGGGACAAGCGUGCGGUGAAAGCCUGGGGCUCAACCCCGGGUCGGCCGUGCGAACUGUUUUGCUUGAGCACUGUAGAGGCAGGCGGAAUUCCGGGUGUAGCGGUGGAAUGCGUAGAGAUCCGGAAGAACACCGGUGGCGAAGGCGGCCUGCUGGGCAGUAGCUGACACUGAGGCGCGACAGCGUGGGGAGCAAACAGG